GUUUAAAGGCGUGUGGAUUACGAUCCAGGCAAGAUCUUAUUGCACGCAAACGUAGUUCUUCAUGCUCCAAGUUAUUGGCGCAGCAGACGCAAUUACAGCCGUGGCAAAACUCGCCAUUGGCAAAACAAUCACAAUAACUUUUGAGGCACUGUGACUUGGUACAGUUGCAUGGCUUGCGAGGUUUGAGGCCAUUUGAUUCCAACACGCUUUGUGCUUUUGCUUGAGAAGCAGCCGUCGACAUUUGAGCAGACUCGGGAGAAGGCGGAGGAGCUGCUUUUGGUUGCUGUGACAAACGAGGGGUCGCACUCGAACUAGUGACUAUUGGUGAUGUGAUCGAUUCCGAAACGACAGUAGCAGCACUGGUUGUAACAGCCGAGAAGUUCGUUGUUGCUGGCGAACUAUUUGUCCCCAUUGAAUUCUUAAGAUAACAGCGCGAAACAGAAUUUGAUUAAAAAUACGUCAUAGUAUUGUAGAAGUGGGUCGAUCUAUGCUGAAAAAACGUAAAGCGAAAAGUAAUUAGGAUGCUCACUUGAGAAGAAUACUGAGCUGGAACCAUCACAAUGUUGCUUGUCAGUGAAUUCAUCGAUCCAGCUGGCAGUAUUAUACGUUGAGCUCCCUGCGGUACACUAACUGUUGAGAUUGCACCCUUUGCUUGCCCAAGCGUCUUUGUUACGGAUGGAAGGGUACCUUUGACUGAUUGCUGGGUCACUGUGCUGUUUGAUGGGUGGAUCUGCAGGGCAAGAAACAGUGGUGAUUCUGACAAUACCAAAAAUUUUUAGUUAAUCUCACUUUAAUGGAGUUUGCAGUAGUUGCGCCUAUUAGAACUUUUGAGGUUCCUGGUGCCGUGAUUAAGUUUCCCGUUCCAUUAUUUCCACCAGUUGGAUUGACGACGCGAACUAAUUGUAUCUAAGACAGGUACAUUCUCAUUUUUAUUAUAAACUUUUACGUGAAACCAUCGAUACAACCUUGUUUCCCGCAAGCUGGAAAUGCUGCUGAGUUCCACUUUGUUCUCCUUGUGGACCCAUUGCGGGAAGGAUUCCAGCAGCUAAUGCUUGAGCCGUUGUUAGCCGUAUGUAUUGUGCUGGUUGUGUUCCACUACUUUGCCGGACUACAUACAAAAGAAAAAUUUGAAAAAUUCUAUGUAAUCGCACGUGACAUUAAAAGAUAAAUUAACGAGGAGAACGGAGAAAAAAACUCCCAAAUUGUAAUACAUCGACAUGUUUUAUGUA